GCGCCCGUAGCUCAGCCGGAUAGAGCACGAGAUUCCUAAUCUCGGGGUCGUGGGUUCGAGUCCCGCCGGGCGCGCCA
rnacentral:tRNA from 1 species